rnacentral:rRNA from 1 species
ACGGGAGGCAGCAGUGGGGAAUAUUGCACAAUGGGCGCAAGCCUGAUGCAGCGAUGCCGCGUGAGGGAAGAAGGUUUUCGGAUUGUAAACCUCUGUCAACAGGGAUGAAAAUGACGGUACCUGUGAAGGAAGCUCCGGCUAACUACGUGCCAGCAGCCGCGGUAAUACGUAGGGAGCAAGCGUUAUCCGGAAUUACUGGGUGUAAAGGGUGCGUAGGCGGUAUGGCAAGUCAGAUGUGAAAGACCGGGGCUCAACUCCGGGGCUGCAUUUGAAACUGCCAGACUGGAGUACAGGAGAGGCAGGCGGAAUUCCUAGUGUAGCGGUGAAAUGCGUAGAUAUUAGGAGGAACACCAGUGGCGAAGGCGGCCUGCUGGACUGUUACUGACGCUGAGGCACGAAAGCGUGGGGAGCAAACAGGAUUAGAUACCCUGGUA